GACGGAGGAUGCAAGUGUUAUCCGGAAUCACUGGGCGUAAAGCGUCUGUAGGUGGUUCGAAAAGUCCACUGUUAAAAAUUGAGGCUUGACUUCAAAGAUGCCGUGGAAACUUUCAAACUAGAGUAUGGUAGGGGUAGAGGGAAUUUCCAGUGGAGCGGUGAAAUGCGCAGAUAUCAGGAGGAACACCUAUUGCGAAGGCAGCUCGCUGGGACGUAACUGACGCUGAGACGCGAAAGCGUGGGGAGCAAACAGG
rnacentral:rRNA from 1 species